GUGCUUACCACUCGUAUAUUGCCACAUUCGUUGUUCAGUAAAAAAGUGAAACCGCAACAAACAUGAAUUUCCACGCAUUAUUCAGGGCAUCCGCAUUUUUCACUCGAGUCAUCGUGAUUUUGUUCGUGACUGUGGAAUCGUUAUCAGUGGAUCUUCAACCAAGCGGGCAGAAUUUAUCAGCUCUUAGUCCCUCAACAAAUGAGUCCAAAAAUAAUGCAGAAAAAAACGUUUCAGCUUCGUCCACGAAACAAGAAAUCAAAUCGUAUCUUCUCUCAAUACGAUCUCGCAUCUCUCGUGAAACGUACGAUUAUUUAUCAACAGAUGUACUAUCGGAAGUCGAUCUCUUUCGAUAUUCGAUCCGUAAAACAAACAACUCAUCUUUCGGAUACAUCAUAAAGGUUAUCGACGACGUAAACAUGGUUUUGAACUCAAAUACACUUCCUGAGAGCUACAUUCCUUAUGUUCGAGCUCUGAAAUCAAUUCUUAGGAUGCAGAUUAAACUUGCAAACUCCAAAGAAGACAUAUUGAAAAUUCAGAAGACAUGUCUGACAAAUCCAAAAGACUAUUCAUCCAUACCAUCUGAUUUAUUAUCACCACCGGAGCUAUCUGGUACAGGAUUAUUUUCUUACGACAUCCUGUCCGAUCCUAAUCCACCUCUCCGUCUUCUCAAUAAAGUAUUCCGUAUUCCAAAAAAAGGUAUUAUAGAGUUGAGAACUCGUUUGGAAAAUUUUAAACAAAGAGUAGAGAACUCAUACAAAUACGCUCGCCAGGUAUGGUGGCCAUACACUUGGUACGGUAAUAGUUUGGGUAUACUUUUUGAAGAAGACUUUGUUUUUGACGAUUUAAAACGUGACAUGGACUACCUUCGACUUGUAUCAACUGCUGCAAAAGGGCCGAUUGACAGUGGCGGAAUUGAAAAUGAGACAAAUUGACCAGCUUUUUCCAUUUCCAUUUGCAUCAUAGUUAUCAUCGCUAUUCCAAUGAUGUGUCAAUGGCUGAAAGUUUGAACCCAUAUGUAUGUAAGUAUAAGAAGCAAGACAAACUCAUAUAGUGGGUAACAACUCACUGAUACGAUUCAAAACUCCUAUAUUCACAGUAGUAUGGCAUGUACAUAAAUAAAAUG